rnacentral:rRNA from 1 species
GAUGAACGCUGGCGGCGUGCCUAAUACAUGCAAGUCGAGCGAACAGACGAGGAGCUUGCUCCUCUGACGUUAGCGGCGGACGGGUGAGUAACACGUGGAUAACCUACCUAUAAGACUGGGAUAACUUCGGGAAACCGGAGCUAAUACCGGAUAAUAUAUUGAACCGCAUGGUUCAAUAGUGAAAGACGGUUUUGCUGUCACUUAUAGAUGGAUCCGCGCCGCAUUAGCUAGUUGGUAAGGUAACGGCUUACCAAGGCAACGAUGCGUAGCCGACCUGAGAGAGUGAUCGGCCACACUGGAGCUGAGACACGGUCCAGGCUCCUACGGGAGGCAGCAGUAGGGAAUCUUCCGCAAUGGGCGAGAGCUUGACGGAGCAACGCCGCGUGAGUGAUGAAGGUCUUCGGAUCGUAAAACUCUGUUAUUAGGGAAGAACAAAUGUGUAAGUAACUAUGCACGUCUUGACGGUACCUAAUCAGAAAGCCACGGCUAACUACGUG